rnacentral:rRNA from 1 species
AUUGAACGCUGGCGGCAGGCCUAACACAUGCAAGUCGAGCGGAUGAAGGGAGCUUGCUCCUGGAUUCAGCGGCGGACGGGUGAGUAAUGCCUAGGAAUCUGCCUGGUAGUGGGGGAUAACGUCCGGAAACGGGCGCUAAUACCGCAUACGUCCUGAGGGAGAAAGUGGGGGAUCUUCGGACCUCACGCUAUCAGAUGAGCCUAGGUCGGAUUAGCUAGUUGGUGGGGUAAAGGCCUACCAAGGCUACGAUCCGUAACUGGUCUGAGAGGAUGAUCAGUCACACUGGAACUGAGACACGGUCCAGAACCCUACGGGAGGCAGCAGUGGGGAAUAUAGGACAAUGGGCGAAAGCCAGAUCCAGCCAUGCCGCGUGUGUGAAGAAGGUCUUCGGAUUGUAAAGCACUUUAAGUUGGGAGGAAGGGCAGUAAGUUAAUACCUUGCUGUUUUGACGUUACCAACAGAAUAAGCACCGGCUAACUUCGU